rnacentral:rRNA from 1 species
GUGGGGAAUCUUGCGCAAUGGGCGAAAGCCUGACGCAGCCAUGCCGCGUGAAUGAUGAAGGUCUUAGGAUUGUAAAAUUCUUUCACCGGGGACGAUAAUGACGGUACCCGGAGAAGAAGCCCCGGCUAACUUCGUGCCAGCAGCCGCGGUAAUACGAAGGGAGCUAGCGUUGCUCGGAAUUACUGGGCGUAAAGGGCGCGUAGGCGGACAGUUUAGUCAGAGGUGAAAGCCCAGGGCUCAACCUUGGAAUUGCCUUUGAUACUGGCUGUCUUGAGUACGGGAGAGGUGAGUGGAACUCCGAGUGUAGAGGUGAAAUUCGUAGAUAUUCGGAAGAACACCAGUGGCGAAGGCGACUCACUGGCCCGUUACUGACGCUGAGGCGCGAAAGCGUGGGGAGCAAACAGGAUUAGAAACCCGAGUAGUCC